CCAUCUCCAAAAAAAAAAAAAAAAAAGUAAAUAUUGUCCAUGUCACUGCCUCCACUGUUUUCCAAUCAUCAAUUAAAGUCAAGUUGACACCUUGCCUUAUCCAUUCAUUCCCCUAGAGUGGGAGAGAAGAGUAAAAUUUAAGCUUUGUUAGGUAAAGAAUUGAAUACAUUUAGCUGAAAGACAAUUAGAAUCCAAAUGGGAAAAUGCUUUGUUGGAUUAAGCAGCUUCUUAAGUUAUUAUUAUUACUGGUGUUACAAAUCUUACUGAGCUUGUAUUAAAUGUCAGGCAUCAUGCCAGUCACGUCAUCUGCAUUACCAAGAGACUUCCCUUUUAUCAUUGUUAUAAUAACAUAUACAUGUAUUCUAAUUGAGAAAACUGAAGUUUAGAGAAUUUAGUAAUUUGUCCAGGUCACAGUAGUAAAUAGUGAAGUCAUGCUUUGAACCCAGAGCUGAUUCCAAAGCCUAACUUAUAAGAAAAAUGCCAUUCUUUCUCCAUAAUUAAAGCCUCCCUCAUUCUACUUCUGCUUUUAAGCCCACCAACUCUGAAAAAUACAACCUUUUGACACAGAGCUCCUCAGCGGAAAAAGGAGCAAUGCAUUGUGUGAAAUACUUCAUGCUACUCUUUAAAAACCAAAAUAUGGCAGGAUUUGUUAGAAGUCCGGAAUAAAGACACUUACUGGUUACGUGAUAUUGGGAAAGUCACUGAACCUCUGUGACUCAAUUUUUCUCAUCUAUAAAAAUAGAAAUAAUAAUGGCAUUUAUCUCCCUGGGUAAUGACCACGGGAAAAAUGAAUUAAUAUAAGGAAAGAGUUUAGACUUAGCAUACAGAAAGAUAUUAUCCAAUAAUAAUACUAACAGGAACUACUACUUUUUAUGAUUCUAUUAGGAUUAGUAUGUUAUAAACAUUAUACCAUUUUUAGUAUUAUUUGGUUACAGUGAAGAAAACCUAGCAUUUAGCAUAGCCUACAUGGGAUACUUCAAAACCGUGAAAAACUUUAAUACUACCAACAGAUCCCACUCAAAUAACUUUCCUUUGAAAGAAUUUUUAAGGUACGCAGGAUCUUUAGAACAAGCACGGUUUUUGUUGUGGUGGGUUUUUUGCUUGUUUGUUUUCUUUCACACGUUGUGUGGCCAUAGUAAUGCUCAAUAGUUUUUUGCUUGAGAAGAACUAAUUUGAAGUUUCUAUCAAUAAGAGUCACAGCAUGUGACUUCUGGGCCACCACACAAAACAUCCUUUGCUAUCACGGUCAGGCAAAGAUAUGGAAUGUGUGGUGUUUCUUUGAAGGCCACCCCUUUUAGGAGGAGAUUACUAACAGCUCCUCCCAGCCAAAGACAGUCUGCAUUUGAAAACAACUUAUCAUUGACAUAUAUAUAUUUUUUGCUUCGUUUAUCUUUUUACACACUAGUAUAGACAGAACAGACAAGUGAUGAUACAAAAUGAGUAACUCAAGGGCAUUCUGUUUAAAGAGUGGUUUCAUUCUUAGGAAAAAUGAACAACUUUUACAGAACAGAGCAGAGCAUGGAGCAGGCUGGCAGAGUUAUCACGAAGGGAUUCAUUUAACACACAGAAAUAAAAUUGCAUCUUAAAUCAGUAGAUAACACACAUUCCUGCGGCAGGAGGAGAAACUAAAUCAUCUAUUAAAUUUUUCCAUGGGGAAAAAAUGUAGCUUGUUAUUGUAAAAGUCAAAAAUAACAAAAAUCCCAUAUAACCCAGUUGCAAUUCAAUGCUGGUUAUCUACAAAGUAGAAAAUAGAAGACGUCCAUGUUUGGGAAGUUGGGAUGAUUAUUGAAACCUGAUAUUUCAAGAUACUCUAAAACACACCAUUUAUUUCAUGAUGCAGAAGGUCAGAUUAGAUUAAUGAAUCUAAAAUAAUUUAUUACCCAAAGAGACAGUAUCAUUAAAAGUUAUCUGGACACAACAUAAGACAAUUACACACAAUGUUAGAAUUUAAGUCUGGAAGAAGCUGUGGUUUGUAGAUUUGGUAUCAUUGAAGAACAAUGUAAGACCAUAAACAAAAUGAAAGAGAAUUUGAGAAGCCUAUGCACUUAAAAUGAAAUAAUUUUUUAGAGGAGUCACUUUGGAAGCUAUAAACUUGUUCUAAAGAAGAUAACAUGCAUUUGUGUAUUAUAAGAGCAUACCUCAACUAUUACUUUUCCUACUGCAACAUAUUUAUAGUGCUUAUACAUACUGGCACAAUCCUUUCCCUAAAUCGGCCAUAAUUCCUAGCCCCUGGCUAUAACUACACCUUCUUCCCUCCUCUUAAAAGAGGGAGAGCAAAAUGCAAAGGAGAAAAAGAGGUGGCAUUACAAGAUCAUUGUUUAUUUUUCUCGUUCUCUGGUAAGAACUGCUCAACUUGCUUCUGAGAAGUAGCUUUACCUGUUCUGAACCUAUGCGAUUAACAUUGAACUAACCCCUUCAUGCUCCUCACAGCCAUAGCUGGGUGAAUAAUUUGGCCAUGGCCAUGUAGUAGAUCCUAAUCACCUGAAGACUGCCAUGGCCUGGGAUUGAUCCUUGAAAACUCAAUCCCAGGACUUAAGGAAAGUUUUCUGGAACUUUUAAAAAUGGAAGGUUUUCUUUCCACGUGGGAUGUUGAACUGCUACUUUUUAACUCUGGAGUGGAUGAUGUCACCUUCGUUACCACUGAAAUCUUGACUGCAAAUGAAGUCCCUUCAAGAGGUAAGCAGACAAAUAUGGAGUAAGAAAUUAGACAGACUGGAAAAGUCUGAAUCAUAAUAUUUGAGAUUCUGAAGCCAGCUGUGCCUGAACAGAUCUUACACCUUGAAACUUCUAUUUUCACCAACUAUUAUUUUCUUCUGUUGUCAUUGUUUAAGCUGGUAUGAGUUUGAUGUAUCCUUGAACAGUGCUAAUCGAUAAUGAGUCACACUGGAUUCUGCAGGACUCACCGUGUUUCAGAAUUGCUCUUCUGGAGCACAGUUGAGCACCUUUUGGGAAGUCACACUUACAGUCACCUCGACAGACACAUUAACAAAAAAGAAAAAAGAAAAAAAAAAAAAAAGCCCUAACAGUUCUCUUUUAUGUUUCUACAACCUUGAAAAUAAAAAAAAAGCAAUCAUUUGAGGAUAUGCUACAUACCAAGUAUUUUGCAUAUAAUGUGUCAUGAAACCUUUACACAGCUUUGUGAAUUAAUUAAAUGAAUUAAGUAUUACUAUCCUUAUGCUACCGAUAGGGAACUGCAAACAGGUUAGAUAAAUUCGCCAAGGUUACACAGUGGUUAACUACACGAGAGAUACAAACAUGGGUCAAUUUGUCUCCAAAAAGCUGAGCAUCUUCCACUCUAAAAUUUUGCUUCCUAGUUUAGCAUUGACUGCCAGAUUUGAAUCAUAAGAAGGACCUGUGUCCAAAACCAAAAAGGAAUUAGAGUACAGUCUUCCAAAGUGAGCAUUUUGAAGUACACACCUUUUAUUUAUAUGCAUAAAUUCUUCUGUGCUUUCUGUAAAUGGCAGCCGUAACUCACCCUCUGCAAGAUGCUUAUAAAGUGAUUUUACGUGAAAUCAUUCAGGGUAUUCAUUCAAUGAUACUGUAAUGUUGCAGAAGACACAGUAGGCUCAAAGUUUAAACCUGAGGGAUUGGAGAGAAUUAACCCUGUUUUAUAGAUGCAAUCAGAAUUCAUUUUAACAGGUCAAAAGCAUGUGUGAAUGCUCAUAGAUAGCUCUGCAAUUUACAAUUAGCUGUAAGUUUUAUGAACCUUGAGAACAAAUUCUUUCAAUUUCUGUAUUUUUUGUAAGAGGCAAGUAAAUACUUAAAGCUAGGUGGGCAAACGGCCAUUGGAGCAGAAGAAUAAUGCAUCUGGCAGGUGUGAGCUUUGGCCUAUUAAACUGUCCAGCUGCAUUAAAAAGAAAAAAAAAAAAAAC